CAUAUUUAAAGUGAAGGAACGGAGCCUUUUCCGAUACGGAGCCCGAUCACACGGAGAGGAUCAGAGUGCCACGGUAAUUAGAAACAGCCUGUAAUCAAUAGCUGAGUUUCCCACUGUGCUGAGCUCCUCAAAAGCAGGAUUGCAAAUGAUGUGGUACGAAAACCUCGAGUGAUAAAUAUUUCAGAGAGGAUAUCGAGCUCUGCAGUUCAACCGGCCUGCCAAAAAUCAAGGUUUCCUCUGUCUGCUGCCCUUUGUGAACGUGUGUUGCUGUGUGCAGUGAAAUGCAGGGUAAAUUCCUGUGCCAGCACAGCCACCUCAUAACCCAGCUGUGCCAGAGCAUCACCGCUGCUCCUGCCUCUGCUCCAACAACCCUGCCAUGGCAUGAAGGCACUCAAACAGCAUUUUGCCUGCCCCAGGUACAGAUUGAUGUCUGUAAACUUUCUGCCUAUUAAAAUUGUGCCUCCAUCAGCAUCUCCUUCUGUAGGAACUUUGUGUGAUCUUAAAAUGGAGCUUGUCUGGGUGACGCCUGGGCCAGUGGAACCUGUUUGUGGUGCUCAGUGGUUGUGCAUCUCUGAUAAUAGUGAUGCCCCCCACAAAUCCUGGGGGGCUGAACCCCACCAAGACUGGGAGUUGUGCUCUGGACACCACGGACUGUGACGAGCCCAUCCCUGGGCAGAUGUUAAUCUGAAAACCCUGCAUCCCUUCAGCUCUUCGUGCUCAAAUUCUGUGUUGGGUUUAGUCACCCAAAGGAAGAGUCACUGUGUUAAGCUGCUGGAAGGUUGGACUUGGUGAUCAAAGUCAGGACUGAGUUGAAGGUUGGACUUAAUGAUCUUGGAGGUGUUUUCUGACCUUAAUGACUCUAUGAUUCUAUGAAAUGUGUUUUUCUUGAACAACUCUCCAUUGCCCACGUGUGCCUGGGUCUGUGUCUGCUGGUGGAGAAGUGUUCUCCAGUGGGUUGGGGCCGUGGGGAUCCUGCACCUUUGGCACCACAAAAGCAGCUCAGCCACAGCUCUGUGGUGAGAUUCCCCAUGGCCACGUGAGGCCCCUGUGAUGGUGGGACAGCUGAAUGGUGAGCCAUGAGCAGUCCCACAUGGCAGAGGGACAACCGAGAGCUUGGCCAGGACCUUUGGACCAAAGAAGUUGGAGAUCUGUAAGAGAAAGAGCUAUUUACAGCUCAGAAAAAAAA